rnacentral:rRNA from 1 species
AGCAGCCGCGGUAAUUCCAGCUCCAAUAGCGUAUAUUAAAGUUGUUGCAGUUAAAAAGCUCGUAGUUGAAUUUCGGGAUUGACGUGAUGGUCAUGCCUUAAGGGGUAUGAACUGUUACUGUUGAUUUCUCACCUUCUGGAGAAACUUGAUGUCCUUUAUUGGGUGUCUUGCGGAUCCAGGACCUUUACCUUGAAAAAAUUAGAGUGUUUAAAGCAGGCAUUUUUGCUCGAAUACAUUAGCAUGGAAUAAUAGAAUAGGACGGCAUGGUUCUAUUUUGUUGGUUUCUAGGAUCACCGUAAUGAUUAAUAGGGAUAGUUGGGGGCAUUAGUAUUCAAUUGUCAGAGGUGAAAUUCUUGGAUUUAUUGAAGACUAACUACUGCGAAAGCAUUUGCCAAGGAUGUUUUCAUUAAUCAAGAACGAAAGUUAGGGGAUCGAAGACGAUCAGAUACCGUCGUAGUCUUAACCAUAAACUAUGCCGACUAGGAAUCAGACGAUGUUAAUUUUUUAAUGUACUCGUUUG